rnacentral:rRNA from 1 species
AGUGAACGCUGGCGGUAGGCCUAACACAUGCAAGUUGAACGGCAGCACAGCAAGAGCUUGCUCUUACGGGUGGCGAGUGGCGGACGGGUGAGGAAUACAUCGGAAUCUACUUUUUCGUGGGGGAUAACGUAGGGAAACUUACGCUAAUACCGCAUACGACCUACGGGUGAAAGCAGGGGAUCUUCGGACCUUGCGCGAUUGAAUGAGCCGAUGUCGGAUUAGCUAGUUGGCGGGGUAAAGGCCCACCAAGGCGACGAUCCGUAGCUGGUCUGAGAGGAUGAUCAGCCACACUGGAACUGAGACACGGUCCAGACUCCUACGGGAGGCAGCAGUGGGGAAUAUUGGACAAUGGGCGCAGGCCUGAUCCAGCCAUACCGCGUGGGUGAAGAAGGCCUUCGGGUUGUAAAGCCCUUUUGUUGGGAAAGAAAAGCAGCAGGUUAAUACCCCGCUGUUCUGACGGUACCCAAAGAAUAAGCACCGGCUAACUUCGUG